rnacentral:rRNA from 1 species
GGGUUUGUGCGAUCGGGCUGCACGCCUGACGCCGCAACGCCGCGUGGGGGAUGAAGGCCUUCGGGUUGUAAACCCCUGUCGACUGGGACGAAAGGGGCGGGACCGAAAAGGCAGCGGCGCGACGGUACCUUCCAAGGCACCCCGUGCUAUAUUAGU